UGCGUAGGCGGUAUAACAAGUUGGUAGCGUAAUUCCGUGGCUCAACCGCGGAGCUACUACUAAAACUGUUAAACUCGAGUGCGGUAGGGGUAUGUGGAAUUCCUAGUGUAGCGGUGGAAUGCGUAGAUAUUAGGAGGAACACCGGAGGCGAAAGCGACAUACUGGGCCGUAACUGACGCUGAGGCACGAAAGCGUGGGGAGCAAACA
rnacentral:rRNA from 1 species